rnacentral:tRNA from 1 species
GAUUGCUUAGUUUAAAAGAAAAUAGGUGUUUUGAAAGCAUCGGAUAAGAUAAGUUCUUAGUAAUCU